UCUAGCAAUUUUAUGCAAACAUAAUAUGUUUCAAUAUUAUUUUAGUGCAAUCUACUAUGUGUUAUGACAAAGAAGACGCAGAAAAGAUUGGAAUCAUAGUCGUGGAAAAUCAACGGAGGACGUUUGUUUUCGGGAACAUCUGUUUUUGACUCAGAAGAUUCGUCGUGGACAUUGGAAAUUAAAGAAUAGCUCGCAUGCCUACACCCUCAUUUGGUUAAUGGCAAUAUCUUUCACGUUGACAAGGAAAAGGGAUUGGAUUCAUUAGGAAGAAAGACCAUUCGCGAGCCAAGAGAACGAGGAAGAAUCCUACAAUAUGAACAAAUGUAUAACUACAAAAAAAUUUCUUGAAUUUUUCCUUUACAGUUGGUUUAAUAAAUUACUGCAUUUUGAGUAUUCUUCUCGUUAUUUCAUUGGAUUUUUCGAAUUCAAUUGGAUUUAUAUUAGCUUAUGUUGUUUUUUAUUCCUCAUCUUCUGGUGGAGUCUGACAGUAAUGCCCGCAAUAACACAUACCCAAACGUAAGCUUAUUGAUUAUAACAAUCUAACAACUUAUCUAUAUCAUUCAAUUUGCAAAUUCUGACCAAUAUAAUUUUGA